AUUGAACGCUGGCGGCAGGCCUAACACAUGCAAGUCGAGCGGAUGAAGGGAGCUUGCUCCUGGAUUCAGCGGCGGACGGGUGAGUAAUGCCUAGGAAUCUGCCUGGUAGUGGGGGAUAACGUCCGGAAACGGGCGCUAAUACCGCAUACGUCCUGAGGGAGAAAGUGGGGGAUCUUCGGACCUCACGCUAUCAGAUGAGCCUAGGUCGGAUUAGCUAGUUGGUGGGGUAAAGGCCUACCAAGGCGACGAUCCGUAACUGGUCUGAGAGGAUGAUCAGUCACACUGGAACUGAGACACGGUCGAGACUCCUACGGGAGGCAGCAGUGGGGAAUAUUGGACGAUGGGCGAAAGCCUGCUCCAGCAAUGCCGCGUGUGUGAAGAAGGUCUUCGGAUUGUAAAGCACUUUAAGUUGGGAGGAAGGGAAGUAAGUUAAUCCCUUGCUGUUUUGACGUUACCAACAGAAUAAGCACCGGCUAACUUCGUG
rnacentral:rRNA from 1 species